GUCCGUUUACUAGAUCCGGAAAAAAACACCGGCGAUAAUAACUUGUCUGGUUCAACCGAAUUCUGAGCGAGACAAGUGCCAUAGAUAAAAUAUGGUUUUUGUAUUUCUCUGAAAAAAAUUUCGAAAAGUGGACUUGUCUUGUGGUUGCAUUGAACCCUUCAAUUUGAGAGAGAAUAAAAAUGAUUUUAACAUAAAAAGAAAUCAUUUUUUUUUUUUUUUUUACAUUACAUAUAGUAUAUAAUACAGGUAUUUAAUAUUUGUACUCGAUUUAAAUUUUUUUUCAAUAAUACACGUGUUUAAAAUAUUUUUUACAGGAC